UAAUACGGAGGGUGCAAGCGUUAUCCGGAUUUAUUGGGUUUAAAGGGUCCGCAGGCGGGAGAAUAAGUCAGUGGUGAAAUCCUAUCGCUUAACGAUAGAACUGCCAUUGAUACUGUUUUUCUUGAGUGUAGUUGAAGUUGGCGGAAUGUGUCAUGUAGCGGUGAAAUGCAUAGAUAUGACACAGAACACCGAUUGCGAAGGCAGCUAACUAAACUAUAACUGACGCUCAUGGACGAAAGCGUGGGGAGCGAACAGGAUUAGAUACCCUGGUAGUCCACGCUGUAAACGAUGAUUACUCGGUGUUGGCGAUAUACAGUCAGUGCCUAAGCGAAAGUGAUAAGUAAUCCACCUGGGGAGUACGGUCGCAAGAUUG
rnacentral:rRNA from 1 species